GCUGGCGCGGCCGGGCUGAUCGGAGCGAGCCGGUGCACCGACCUCGCUUGGCUCCCCACGGCGCCACGUGUAGGAAGCGUUAGUGCCGGGACCUCCAUAGUAGGGCUUCAUCUGCACAAGCUUGUCUCCAGGCUGGAUGCCAGCUGAAGAGAUGGAGGCAGGGUAUAUUUAGUGUACACUGAAGGUGUCUUAUUUCAGGAGAUGGAGUGGAGGAAGUGUUACCAAAGGUGGUCAUGGGCAGUAGCUGUGCUUUGUAAUUAUUGCUAAAUAUGGAGUGGCAAAUAGAGAUUUGGGCGAGUGGCAGUCUGAAACCGGGAGGACUGCAGGAGCUGGCUAGAAUGAGGAUGUGUAUCCUUCACCUAGAGCUCUUUCUUCCUGGGAUGGCUUCUAUCACUUCUUCAACAGACAUGGCUCUCAACCAGCUGACCAGAGCAAUACCAUAAGCACCAUAAUGGCAGCAGCAGGGUUUGGACUAGCAGGAUUAGCUUUUCUUUUGGCAGUGCGAUAGACCGAUUUGAUGGAUUUAAAAAAAAAAAAAAAAAUUUUUUUUUUCUUCAAUGGAAAAGGACUCUUAAACUGACAGUUUACCAGAUUCCCCUCUAUUUUGUAUAAAACAGGCUGUUGAAGAAGUUUAUAUUUUUUAAAAUGGCUUGUUGUCUUAAGAGAUCUUGAAUACAGACUGCCUCUCUCUGCCGAGCAGCACAGCACAAACACACACCACCCUGUACAUGCCUACGGUGCUUAAUGGCUCCAAACAUCUUCUGGACCUGUGUGUUUGAAAGGUGUAUUCUAAAUAUUACCCUAGUUUGUAAUACUGAGCACUCAGAAGUUGCAGUAUACACUAGAGUAAGUUAUGGUGAACUUUCAACCAAACGCAUUAUUGAAUGCAUCUUUAUUUAAAUGGCAGAAACUGUUUUAGAACACAAUUUCAUCUAAUACUGUUAAGCGAGUUAAUGUCAACUGUAAUGUAAAGGCUUUUACAAUGUCAAAUAUGGUGCACUUCACUUAUUACUGAGGCAAUUCUUUGGUUUGGUUUAGAGUACCUGUGAUGUGAAAAGCGUUAUGGCUUUAAUACUAAAGUGUAACAUAAAGAUAACACUACAGUACAAAUAGGUGAUGUGUAUUGAUAGGAACCAUUGAUUAUGGCUGUAAAACCUGUUCUUACCGAAAGAAGAAAACUAUUAACCUUAAUUGGUAUAUUGAAAUCCAGUGAAGGCUGGGAUUUCCCUGGAUUUCCUUGUCAAAACAAGAAUUUCCAUAUAUCUUAAUAUAUUUUUUUUGAAAUAUUUAUCAUUGUAUUAUACUAGUAGCCAUAACAUCUCUAUUUUUGUUUAAAGUUCAUUUUAAUAUGGCUCUUGUUAUCACUAGUAUGUGUGUCAACCAUUGUUUCCCUUGAUCUAAUAAUUGUUCUAUUCUCAACACACUGUAUAAUUAAUUUCAUUUUUUGUUCCAGUAAUGUACAAAGCUGCCUUUGUUCUGGUAGUGUUUUAACUUGUACAAUUUUACUAUGGUGACUUUAAAAGGUGAAUAAAUGCAACUGAGUUUUUAUUUUAAA